rnacentral:misc_RNA from 1 species
CGCACCGCUUGCUAGAGAUCUACAUCGACACGUGCACAGAGGAAGGGCACCAAAGAGGGAGGGGAGGAGUUGGUGACGCAACACCAGUAAGCUGCCCUGCCGCUGCAGUACGGUGACUUCAUGCACGUAGACACGGAGAGAGACACGCACUACGGACAGCAUCUCUUACACCCCCCACCUUUCUACACGGGUACGCGACCCUGGCAGGACUCAUCGCCAUCGUUGAGCCCAGCGCUCUUCUUCACGCUUUCUUUACUUUUUCCUUCGUCUUACGGGGCUUUGAUUGCCUGGUCAAAUUUCCGGCGUCACGGGGCCCUCGCACCUGUUCCCUGGCAGCGGUGGCGCGAAGGGAGGUAGGACAGCGGGUAAAGGGGUGGAUAGAGAGGGCAAACGCACGCACGCACGCACACACACACACACACACACGAGUGACGGCGUCAGCAGCUCCCUAGCCACUUCACCAUCGCUGCCGAGAGGACUAUCAUGUUCCGUGGCCACUGGAUCGUGGCCGACAUGGACGGCACCCUCACCCCCACGCCGACCCGAGCACAUGGCAAGUACCUGACCCUGUCGUACUGUAUGCAGACCGGACUGGGCUACGGUGCUCGCUACAAGAGCUGCCUGCCGUGGCUUCGGCUCUUUCUAGAGUGUGGUGGAACCCUCUGCGUCGUGUCCACGGCUGGCAAACGCAUGUGGUCGCAGCUGUACCCGGAUCUAGCGCCAGCGCUAUUUCGGUUGGGGGCCGCCGCCGCCGCUGCCGGUGCGACUGCGGCUGAUGGUAAUGGCGCUCCACCCGGCCCCUCUCCGCCCAUCGACUCUUCGGAUGCUCCUGGUACCCUGUACCUAUGCGGCUUCACAGGAGCGGCGCUAUUUCGAAGCCGUCCAUGGGAGGCUGUGUGGUCUGACAUGGACCGGCUGCACCCCCACUGGCGCGUGCCCUCCGCGCCCCACCCUUCGCCCUUUGAUGAGGGCGCUGGGCUGUGCAACGGCGAGACUGCUGUGGCCGCGGCCAUGGUGCCGCCCGCCGGAGUGGCACUGGAGGAGUGGAGAGAGUACCGCGAGCAAGGCGCCGCUCCAGAUGCUGCAGGCUCGCAGGCCGCGGCGAACAGCGCAGUCAGUAGGCUAGCGACGAUGGACGCUGCGGCGUGCAUGCUUGCCAGAGAUGAGGGCCGCCAAGCUCUCGUCCGCUUCUUUGAGCACGCCUCGCACGUCUGCGGCCACGAUGCGGCUCGCGCUAAGGACUUCUUCGCUGCCUGCCUGAGCACGAAGUAUCACAGCGUCUUUGCGGACCUUCUACAGCAACUAUUGGCCGAGGUGCACGUGACGGCUCCUCAUGGCGGCGAUGACACAUCCGGCUCUGACGCGGGCACGCUUCAUGUCUGCUUUGCGGCGUCGAACGUGCUCAGUCCCGCUGCCCUCGCUCAGCACGGCUUCUUUCUCCAGGAAACCGGCGACGCGCUGGUGGACGCGCAGCCUGUACCAAGAGCAGACGGCACAGUGGCUGACGGCGCCGCCGUCGCGCAGGUGGUUGUGAUGGGCAUUCCCAUGCAGUUCUUUGACCAAGUCUUUCCCGCGGUGGGCUCUUCAUCAUCGGAUAAUCCCUCAGCAACUUCUCGGAGCUGGCACUGCUGCCCCCGGUGCGCCGCGGCAGGCGCGGGGGCCCGCCAACGCCUCGAGGCUGCUGGGCUAGAGCUGAAGAGCCAGCCAAACAGCGUGUGCCUACAUCGCUAUGGCGUAGACAAGGCCACGUGCGUGCGAUGGUUGCUGGCACAGCAUGAGCAGCAUCAGCUGAUGUUUGAGCUCUCUCAAGCGCUUGCCUUCGGCGAUAUGCCGGAAUCGGUCGACGCCCCUCUGACAGCCUUUCCCCCUAUGCAGUUUAUCUCCCUCUCACCCAAAGACGGCGCUGCGGCGCGUCUGGCCGACAUCGAGCGCGCUGCUGUUGCCGGCUCGACUUCGGCAGACAGCACUGGGGGCGGGGUGGUGCGGCAGCAGCAGCAGCACCAGCAGCCGCGCUGCCUCAGUGACAGCGCGCAGAACAUGUUUCACGUGGGAGGCGAGGAGGAGGGCACAGCACUCUUUUUGGAAGAGCUGCUGGGGGGCUGCACGAGCGAGCAGCAGCAGCUGCAGGUGCGGCGGCGCAGGGCAGCGUCGUCAUCGAACGAUGCUGCAGAUGCGGCGUGUGCGGUUAACUGGUUCACUGCCGAUCGCGUGGCCGCCUGUGCGACCCGUGCGCGACGUCGAAUGGAGGAGGAGCUCCUUCAGCGGCAGCAACGCAGCACCGCAAGCACCUAGAAGAACACCCGCUCUACCUUUCGAGAGGUGACGUGUGCGCGCCUGCUCCCCAACGAGGCACGUUUUGUGCGCGUGUCUCUCUCUCUUUCUCAAUGCCUGCUUCUCUUGUUGACGCCGUAGGGUGCCUCUCACGGCUGUUGCGUGU